GACGAACGCUGGCGGCGUGCUUAACACAUGCAAGUCGAACGGUGAUGCUCCAGCUUGCUGGAGUGGAUCAGUGGCGAACGGGUGAGUAACACGUGAGCAACCUGCCCCAGACUCUGGAAUAAGCGCUGGAAACGGCGUCUAAUACUGGAUACGAAACUGGCCCGCAUGGGCAUGGUUUGGAAAGUUUUUCGGUUUGGGAUGGGCUCGCGGCCUAUCAGCUUGUUGGUGAGGUAAUGGCUCACCAAGGCGACGACGGGUAGCCGGCCUGAGAGGGCGACCGGCCACACUGGGACUGAGACACGGCCCAGACUCCAACGGGAGGCAGCAGUGGGGAAUAUUGCACAAUGGGCGAAAGCCUGAUGCAGCGACGCCGCGUGAGGGAUGACGGCCUUCGGGUUGUAAACCUCUUUCAGCAGGGAAGAAGCGAAAGUGACGGUACCUGCAGAAGAAGCACCGGCUAACUACGUG
rnacentral:rRNA from 1 species